AGAGAUGAUCUCUCCAGUGUGGUCCCAGAAAUUCAAUUGCAGUCCUGGCUGGCCUGUUCUGGCUUUCCCUGGCCCCGUAUGGUAGAAGAGAGCCAACUUCCGUAUUGUCGUCUGACUUGCUGAUCAUGGCAUGUAGUGCGCCUCUCACGUCGACCGUCUU
rnacentral:sRNA from 1 species